UUUUUUAGGGGAGAAAAGAGCACAUUUUUAUAAAAAGGGUUUUUAUUAUGUGUUUUUUUUUUUCGUCAGAUUGAACGCUGGCGGCAGGCCUAACACAUGCAAGUCGAGCGGCAGCACGGGUACUUGUACCUGGUGGCGAGCGGCGGACGGGUGAGUAAUGCCUAGGAAUCUGCCUGGUAGUGGGGGAUAACGCUCGGAAACGGACGCUAAUACCGCAUACGUCCUACGGGAGAAAGCAGGGGACCUUCGGGCCUUGCGCUAUCAGAUGAGCCUAGGUCGGAUUAGCUAGUUGGUGAGGUAAUGGCUCACCAAGGCGACGAUCCGUAACUGGUCUGAGAGGAUGAUCAGUCACACUGGAACUGAGACACGGUCCAGACUCCUACGGGAGGCAGCAGUGGGGAAUAUUGGACAAUGGGCGAAAGCCUGAUCCAGCCAUGCCGCGUGUGUGAAGAAGGUCUUCGGAUUGUAAAGCACUUUAAGUUGGGAGGAAGGGCAUUUACCUAAUACGUAAGUGUUUUGACGUUACCGACAGAAUAAGCACCGGCUAACUCUGUGCCAGCAGCCGCGGUAAUACAGAGGGUGCAAGCGUUAAUCGGAAUUACUGGGCGUAAAGCGCGCGUAGGUGGUUUGUUAAGUUGGAUGUGAAAUCCCCGGGCUCAACCUGGGAACUGCAUUCAAAACUGACAAGCUAGAGUAUGGUAGAGGGUGGUGGAAUUUCCUGUGUAGCGGUGAAAUGCGUAGAUAUAGGAAGGAACACCAGUGGCGAAGGCGACCACCUGGACUGAUACUGACACUGAGGUGCGAAAGCGUGGGGAGCAAACAGGAUUAGAUACCCUGGUAGUCCACGCCGUAAACGAUGUCAACUAGCCGUUGGGAGCCUUGAGCUCUUAGUGGCGCAGCUAACGCAUUAAGUGACCGCCUGGAGACGCGACUGG
rnacentral:rRNA from 1 species